rnacentral:rRNA from 1 species
AAGGGGGCUAGCGUUGCUCGGAAUCACUGGGCGUAAAGCGCACGUAGGCGGCUUUUUAAGUCAGGGGUGAAAUCCUGGAGCUCAACUCCAGAACUGCCUUUGAUACUGAGGAGCUCGAGUCCGGGAGAGGUGAGUGGAACUGCGAGUGUAGAGGUGAAAUUCGUAGAUAUUCGCAAGAACACCAGUGGCGAAGGCGGCUCACUGGCCCGGUACUGACGCUGAGGUGCGAAAGCGUGGGGAGCAAACAGG